UCAUAUGGAAUGGGACCACCAUUGUACAUCUUUUAUAAAUAAGCACAGAAAUAAAGUGGCAAAACCAAUAUUGUUUACAUCCAAAAAUAAAGUGGCACCAUUUACAAUAUCAUUUGUCUUUCACUUACAGCCCCUACGCAAGUCCAAUUAUGACCCCUAAGCAAGCCCUCCCACUAGCAGAUCUAGUUAUCCCAGCCCUACAUCCAGCCCUUCCACCCUUUAAUCCAACCCUUCCAGCAAAUGUAGAUCCAGCCGAAGCCCUCCCAGUAGCAUUAGAAGAUGCUUUCCUCCCAGC
rnacentral:lncRNA from 1 species